GACUCAACCCGGGGAAACUCACCAGGUCCAGACAUAGUAAGGAUUGACAGAUUGAGAGCUCUUUCUUGAUUNUAUGGGUGGUGNAGCAUGUCCGUUGUUAGUUGGGGGAGUGAUUUGUAUGGUUAAUUCCGUUAUCGAACGAGACCUUAUCCUCCUAAAUAGUUAGNCCAACGUUUGUUGGUNGUCAACUUCUUAGAGGGACUAUUGACUAUUAGUCAAGGGAAGUAAGAGGCAAUAACAGGUCUGUGAUGCCCUUAGAUGUUCUGGGCCGCACGCGCGCUGCACUGAUCAAGUCCAGGAGUUUACAACCUUGGCCGGAAGGUCUGGGUAAUCUUUUGAAACUUGAUCGUACAGGGGAUAGUCCAUUGCAAUUAUUGGACUUCANCGAGGAAUUCCUAGUAAGCGUGAGUCAUCAGCUCGCGUUGAUUACGUCCCUGCCCUUUGUACACACCGCCNGUCGCUACUACCGAUUGAAUGCCUUAGCGAGGCUUUCGGAUAGGAUUCUGGCAGCUGGCAACAGCACCUAGAAACUGAAAAGUUAUCCAAUUUUGGUCAUUUAGAGGAAGUAAAAGUCGUAACAAGGUU
rnacentral:rRNA from 1 species